rnacentral:rRNA from 1 species
UUGAUCCCUGCCGGAGGCCACUGCUAUCGGAGUCCGAUUAAGCCAUGCGAGUCGUUCGUCCCUUCGGGGGCGAGGCGCACGGCUCAGUAACACGUGGACAACCUGCCCUCGGGUGGGGGAUAACCCCGGGAAACUGAGGAUAAUACCCCAUAGGCCAUGGGAGCUGGAAUGCCCUGUGGCCCAAAGCCUUCGGGCGCCCGAGGAUGGGUCUGCGGCCUAUCAGGUAGUAGUGAGGGUAACGGCCUCACUAGCCGACGACGGGUACGGGCCUUGAGAGAGGGAGCCCGGAGAUGGACUCUGAGACACGAGUCCAGGCCCUACGGGGCGCAGCAGGCGCGAAACCUGCGCAAUGCGCGCAAGCGUGACGCGGGGACUCCGAGUGCCGCCGUCACCUUGUGAUGGCGGCUGUUCCUGUGCCUAAAAAGCACAGGGAGUAAGGGCUGGGUAAGACCGGUGGCAGCCGCCGCGGUAAUACCGGCAGCCCGAGUGGUGGCCACUAUUAUUGGGUCUAAAACGUCCGUAGCCGGCCUGGUAAAUCCCUCGGUAAAUCGAACGGCUUAACCGUUCGGCCUCGGGGGAGACUGCCAGGCUUGGGACCGGGAGAGGCCGGAGGAACUCUGGGGGUAGGGGUGAAAUCUGCAACCGCUAGGUUGGAGAAUGAGACCAGCGGUUGCUGGUCACAGUCCUGUAAUCCCCAGGGGACCACCAGUGGCGAAGGCGUCCGGCUUGAACGGGUCCGACGGUAAGGGACGAAAGCCAGGGGAGCAAACCGGAUUAGAUACCCGGGUAGUCCUGGCCGUAAACGCUGCGGGCUUGGUGUUGGGGGUCCUACGAGGGCGCCCAGUGCCGGAGCGAAGGUGUUAAGCCCGCUACCUGGGGAGUACGGCCGCAAGGCUGAAACUUAAAGGAAUUGGCGGGGGAGCACUGCAACGGGAGGAGCGUGCGGUUUAAUUGGAUUCAACGCCGGAAAACUCACCGGGGGCGACCACCGGAUGAGGGUCAGCCUGGCGGGCUUACCCGAUAGGUGGAGAGGUGGUGCAUGGCCGUCGUCAGUUCGUACCGUAAGGCGUUCUCU